UGCCAGCUCUUGGUGUAUCCUGGGGCUUUCAAUUUGACCACAGGCCCUGCCCACUGGGAGCUGCUGCAGAGAGGACGAGCUGUUGAUAACCAGGUCUAUGUGGCUGCUGUAUCUCCUGCUAGGGAUGAGAAGGCGUCUUAUGUAGCCUGGGGACAUAGCACUGUAGUAAAUCCAUGGGGGGAAGUCAUAGCCAAAGCGGGCACUGAGGAAACGGUUAUUUAUGCAGAU